UUGGCAAAACCGGUGAAAGCCGGCGACGCAAAGCUAAGAGGCUAAGGUUUUAAUACUAUGCUCGUCCAGCUGC
rnacentral:ncRNA from 1 species